rnacentral:rRNA from 1 species
GUUGAACGCUGGCGGCGUGCCUAAUACAUGCAAGUCGAGCGAACGGACGAGAAGCUUGCUUCUCUGAUGUUAGCGGCGGACGGGUGAGUAACACGUGGAUAACCUACCUAUAAGACUGGGAUAACUUCGGGAAACCGGAGCUAAUACCGGAUAAUAUUUUGAACCGCAUGGUUCAAAAGUGAAAGACGGUCUUGCUGUCACUUAUAGAUGGAUCCGCGCUGCAUUAGCUAGUUGGUAAGGUAACGGCUUACCAAGGCAACGAUGCAUAGCCGACCUGAGAGGGUGAUCGGCCACACUGGAACUGAGACACGGUCCAGACUCCUACGGGAGGCAGCAGUAGGGAAUCUUCCGCAAUGGGCGAAAGCCUGACGGAGCAACGCCGCGUGAGUGAUGAAGGUCUUCGGAUCGUAAAACUCUGUUAUUAGGGAAGAACAUAUGUGUAAGUAACUGUGCACAUCUUGACGGUACCUAAUCAGAAAGCCACGGCUAACUACGUG